rfam:Trichobilharzia regenti genome assembly, scaffold: TRE_scaffold0009628
GUACUGAUGAAGAGCCCCAGACUAGGGAGAAACGGCUGUCCAGUAC